rnacentral:rRNA from 1 species
AGUGAACGCUGGCGGUAGGCCUAACACAUGCAAGUCGAACGGCAGCACAGUAAGAGCUUGCUCUUACGGGUGGCGAGUGGCGGACGGGUGAGGAAUACAUCGGAAUCUACUUUUUCGUGGGGGAUAACGUAGGGAAACUUACGCUAAUACCGCAUACGACCUACGGGUGAAAGCAGGGGAUCUUCGGACCUUGCGCGAUUGAAUGAGCCGAUGUCGGAUUAGCUAGUUGGCGGGGUAAAGGCCCACCAAGGCGACGAUCCGUAGCUGGUCUGAGAGGAUGAUCAGCCACACUGGAACUGAGACACGGUCCAGACUCCUACGGGAGGCAGCAGUGGGGAAUAUUGGUCAAAGGGCGCAAGCCUGAUCCAGCCAUACCGCGUGGGUGAAGAAGGCCUUCGGGUUGUAAAGCCCUUUUGUUGGGAAAGAAAAGCAGCAGGUUAAUACCCCGCUGUUCUGACGGUACCCAAAGAAUAAGCACCGGCUAACUUCGUG